CUGAGAAAGAACAAGACUGACACCCCUUGGUCUUCUAUAUCUCCCUCUCUCUUUUCGCCGUUCUAUUGCAAAAGCCUUAAUUGAAAGGGGAGAAUCCGAGAAGACACGCUGCAAAUGUCGAUGCUCUUACGCCUGGGUUUAAUGAUUUGCAAUACUCUUCACUAUGUAUUUGCCACUGGCUGAGCAAAUCCUGCAGCGAGACAGGAAAUAAAACCAACAUUUAAUCCUAAAAUGAACAGGCCAGCGUCCACCAGCUUGCUGAUUCUCCAUGGUACAAAAAUACCCAAAUGCCACAGAUGGUUUGACGAUAAGCAUCACAUUUAUUUUGAGAGAAUGCAGGGUCAGUCCCCGGAGCGAUCGGGGGUUAAGUUCCUCGCACGAGGACCGAGCAGCAGAAUCACUCUGACGACCCUGGGAUUUAAACUGCUGACCUUCCAGCGACACGAACGGUAUCCAGUCCUGCUGAGCCGCACACUGUCCCAAGAUUAAUGAGUAUACUGUUAGAAGACUUCUGCAAGCAGGCUAUAGAUUCGAAGGAGUGUAGCUCUGUGUGCUGAGCUUAUCUGGAUUUUCCCAUCUAAGUGUGUGCCAGCGGUUCAAAUGGGGUUCUUUGUCAACCUGACCUUUGUAGUUCUGCUUAGUAUGUAUUGUCCCACCAAGGCUGCAGCCUAGAAUAUGUGUGUGAGUGUGUGUGUGUAUGUGUGUGAGAUAGAGAGAGAGAGAGCUUGUUUGUGUGCAUGCCAUCAGUAAUGUGACAUACCCCACCCUUCCUUUUCACUCAUUUCUCUUUUUUUUUUUACUCAGUCAUGCUGUUUUGUAGAACACAUGGUAAUGUUCAGUGAGUACUGAACCUUAAUCCUCCUGUUAAUGGUGCAUGAUUAAUGCAUAAUUUUUCAUUGCAUUCUGACACCCAUUCAGUCUGUUCAGUAUGAAUACAUACAGAUGGUUGAAUCUGCUCAUUAAAUUCCCUGUAUUUUA